UACGUAGGGGCAAGCGUUGUCCGGAAUCAUUGGGCGUAAAGAGCGUGUAGGCGGUUCAGUAAGUCUGCUGUGAAAGUCCAGGGCUCAACCCUGGGAUGCCGGUGGAUACUGCUGGGCUAGAGUACGGAAGAGGCGAGUGGAAUUCCCGGUGUAGCGGUGAAAUGCGCAGAUAUCGGGAGGAACACCAAUGGCGAAGGCAGCUCGCUGGGACGGUACUGACGCUGAGACGCGAAAGCGGUGGG
rnacentral:rRNA from 1 species